rnacentral:rRNA from 1 species
GACGAACGCUGGCGGCGUGCUUAACACAUGCAAGUCGAACGCAGUGGCGAACGGGUGAGUAACGCGUAAUCAACCUGCCCUUCAGUGGGGGACAACAGUUGGAAACGACUGCUAAUACCGCAUAAUGAAGAAGUGGAUUGCGUCGGAUUAGCUAGUUGGAGGGGUAACGGCCCACCAAGGCGAUGAUCAGUAGCCGGUCUGAGAGGAUGAACGGCCACACUGGGACUGAGACACGGCCCAGACUCCUACGGGAGGCAGCAGUGGGGAAUCUUCCGCAAUGGACGAAAGUCUGACGGAGCAACGCCGCGUGAGUGAAGACGGCUUUCGGGUUGUAAAGCUCUGUUAAUCGGGACGCGGUACCGGAAUAGAAAGCCACGGCUAACUACGUGCCAGCAGCCGCGGUAAUAC